GACAGGAGGAGGAGCAAGGGGAAGGGAGGAGGCAAGCGUGGAAAGGUGAGAAGAGGUGAGGCAGAGGCCUACGUGGAGAGGCAGAGCCUGGGACGCUGCCUGCGGGGGAGGUCAGGGCCACAGGGAAACCCGCACCCAGCCGGACAGGAGUCAGAGGCUGUUGUCAUGGUAACUGGCAUCCCAAGGCCUGGUCUGCCUCCUGCCUCCUUUAUCGGGCUAUGAUGGUCACUGCUUCCUCUGCGAAGCACCUGUCAUGUGUGGGGGUUUGUGCCAAGCUCUUUCCAUGCACUAGGGGGAGAAACCAGGCAGCCCACCUUCAGAGCCCGCGUCUUAACUGUGACCCCACGUUGAAAUAAAAUGUGGAAACUGCCCACAGACACACCUCGUGGUGGCUACGAGUCACAGGGGCUGCACUUCUGCCUCUUGGGGAGUUGCUUGUUUGCUCCAUGCUGGUUUCCUCACCUCAGAAACUAGAAUAACAGUUCCAUAGAGCAGUCGUGAGGAUUGAAGGAGGCAGCCUGGACACUGAGCACAGGCCCUGGCCCAGGCAGGGCUCCAUCGAGGGUUUGUUAGUACAGGAGUUCUGGCGAGCCCUCAGCCGCUGGGCUGCUUCCCUCCAGCCAUUCCUCUGCAUGCUAAGAACUAAAGAGAAGGGAGUCAGACCCAGAUGGAGCAUGGGUGUCAGGCACUGUGCCCAGCUGCCCAUGAGAGCCAGCAAGGUGCCUGUGUCCUUUGAGGUACUAGGAUUCUGGGCCCUGGAUCCUGCAGUGCGGUGACCUCCCCUUCCCCCAUCUGUCCCUGCCCUGCUCCACCCUCAGCCACCUGCAGGGCCCCCACCCAAGGGUCAGGGCAGAGCAGGGCAGAGCAGGGCAGAGCAGGGCA
rnacentral:lncRNA from 1 species